AUUGAACGCUGGCGGCAUGCCUUACACAUGCAAGUCGAACGGCAGCACGGGGGCAACCCUGGUGGCGAGUGGCGAACGGGUGAGUAAUACAUCGGAACGUGCCCAGUCGUGGGGGAUAACGUAGCGAAAGUUACGCUAAUACCGCAUACGAUCUCUGGAUGAAAGCGGGGGACCGAAAGGCCUCGCGCGAUUGGAGCGGCCGAUGGCAGAUGAGGUAGUUGGUGGGGUAAAAGCUUACCAAGCCUCCGAUCUGUAGCUGGUCUGAGAGGACGAUCAGCCACACUGGGACUGAGACACGGCCCAGACUCCUACGGGAGGCAGCAGUGGGGAAUUUUGGACAAUGGGCGCAAGCCUGAUCCAGCAAUGCCGCGUGCAGGACGAAGGCCUUCGGGUUGUAAACUGCUUUUGUACGGAGCGAAACGGCUUCCACUAAUACUGGGGGCUAAUGACGGUACCGUAAGAAUAAGCACCGGCUAACUACGUGCCAGCAGCCGCAGUAA
rnacentral:rRNA from 1 species